rnacentral:tRNA from 1 species
UAUCUUUCUAGUACAAACACUAGUAUAUGUGACUUCCAAUCACCUGAUCUUGGUUAAAGUCCAAGGAGAGAUAA